rnacentral:rRNA from 1 species
GACGAACGCUGGCGGCGUGCUUAACACAUGCAAGUCGAGCGGUAAGGCCCUUUCGGGGGUACACGAGCGGCGAACGGGUUGAGUAACACGUGGGUGACCUGCCCUCAGCUCUGGGAUAAGCCUGGGAAACCGGGUCUAAUACUGGAUAUGACUCCAUGACGCAUGUUGUGGGGUGGAAAGCCUUGUGCGGCUGAGGAUGGGCCCGCGGCCUAUCAGCUUGUUGGUGGGGUGAUGGCCUACCAAGGCGACGACGGGUAGCCGGCCUGAGAGGGCGACCGGCCACACUGGGACUGAGACACGGCCCAGACUCCUACGGGAGGCAGCAGUGGGGAAUCUUGCGCAAUGGGCGAAAGCCUGACGCAGCGACGCCGCGUGAGGGAUGACGG